rnacentral:rRNA from 1 species
UACGGGGGGGGGCAAGCGUUGUUCGGAAUUACUGGGCGUAAAGGGUGCGUAGGCGGCUCGCUAAGUUAGAUGUGAAAACUCUGGGCUCAACCCAGAGCCUGCAUCUAAAACUGGCGGGCUAGAGUUCUGGAGGGGGUAGCGGAAUUCCUGGUGUAGCGGUGAAAUGCGUAGAUAUCAGGAGGAACACCGGUGGCGAAGGCGGCUACCUGGACAGAAACUGACGCUGAGGCACGAAAGCUAGGGGAGCAAACAGG